rnacentral:RNase_P_RNA from 1 species
UGAGUCGGCGGGGCGGCCGCGUGGGGUGGCUUGCCACUCGACGAGGAAGGUCCGGACUCCACAGAGCAGGGUGGUGGGUAACGCCCACCCGGGGCGACCCGCGGGACAGUGCCACAGAAAACAGACCGCCAACGGCCGCGCCGGUUCGCCGGUACGGAACGGGUAAGGGUGAAACGGUGGUGUAAGAGACCACCAGCGCCUCGGGUGACCGAGGCGGCUUGGUAAACCCCACCUGGAGCAAGACCAAGAGGACCCGUACGCGGGUCUGCGCUGACGUUCGAGGGCUGCUCGCCCGAGUCAGCGGGUAGGUUGCUGGAGCGCAUCGGCAACGGUGCGCGUAGAUAGAUGGUCGCUGGGUGCCCGUGCACUUACAGGAUCCGGCCUACAAGCCGACUCAUCCG